AUGACAGGAGGUGGGGCUACCAAGGGUGACACAUCUAGGCUUCUGGAUCCACUGCACCUCGUGGCAGUGAGAGCAACGCUCGGUCUUCUCCCCCUACAGAAAAUUCAGUCCGUUUCAAAUCCAGAGAUGAUGUGUCACCUCCCACAUUCCACACCCACAACACGCACCAAUGAGCACACGGGAUGGAGCGUCUGAACUUUACCGAAAAAAAUUCCAAAAAUAAGCACCCAGAGGAAGAGCACGUGUCCAGGAAGAAUUAUGUCACGGUCUGGGGUUUUUUCACACACUAAUUGGUGUAGAGUCUCAUCUCUCCUCUGCAGGUGGGCGUGCCUGGAAGUUGGGAGGCUGCAGGUAAUCUGCUGAUUAGCUGGCCAGGGAUAUUUAAGCUCCUGAGAGACGCCUUCACUUCGCUGGAUGAUUAACUCAACUUGGAUAUCACCUAUCAGUUCACCUCGUUUGCUGCUACCAACCUGGUUUCUUCACUGUCCACUCGUCUCUCAGCGUCCUCCUCUGGUCUUCCCACUCCAGGCUGCCCACCCUCCCUCCUGGAUCACCAUUACCCUUCAUGCUCAGCUCCCUCCUCAUUUGGACUCCAAGCUCAUCAGCCUCCAGUAAGCCUCCUGCCCUCCCCAGACCGGUCACUCCUCCUUCUCUCACGAGGUCUCACCUCCAACCUGUAAGUUCCAUCAGAUCCAACAUUCAGAUUUCCGAGUGCCAGACCUAACUCUCCCUGUUCCUCCAGGAUUCUCCACACCCGAACCUCGCUUCUCUGCCGAAUACUGCUAGACUUCCUAGCAGCUCCUUCUGUUCUCCUUUUCUAAUAAAUUAUUGUUUGCGAUCUUC